ACGCUCGACACCUACGGGAGGCAGCAGGUGGGGAAUAUUGCACAAUGGGGGAAACCCUGAUGCAGCGACGCCGCGUGAAGGAAGAAGUAUCUCGGUAUGUAAACUUCUAUCAGCAGGGAAGAAGUGACGGUACCUGACUAAGAACGCCCCGGCUAACUACGUGCCAGCAGCCGGUAAUCUGAGGCGGGCUGGCAAGGC
rnacentral:rRNA from 1 species